rnacentral:lncRNA from 1 species
CUUUAGUGCUGAUCACAGACAGGGCUAGCCUCUAGGAAGAACGGUUUGUGGAGGUUCUCCUGGUCUAUUGAUUGCUUUCCAUCACCCCACAAAAUGCAUACCAGCUGGGGACGAGGAUGGCUUCCCACUAGAAAGGAGGAAUGUUAAUCACUCAAAAGGCACCUCUCGAAAAACUGGCAUCACCUGACCCAUCAACAUUGAAGAUGCAGUGUGUGAAGAGAUACAUUCCGUCAUGGUGGGAAAGGCACGGCAGCAGGAGCAGGAGGCUAGCUGGUCAGAUUGCCUCUGCAGCCACGAAGCACAUAUGUGAAGAGGAAAUGAGACCAGGCUACAGAACCUCA